rnacentral:rRNA from 1 species
UCUCAGUUCGGAUCGGAGUCUGCAACCCGACUCCGUGAAGCUGGAUUCGCUAGUAAUCGCGCAUCAGCCAUGGCGCGGUGAAUACGUUCCCGGGCCUUGUACACACCGCCCGUCAAGCCAUGGAAGCCGGGGGCGCUUGAAGUGCGUUGCCGCAAGGCGCGCCCUAGAGCGAAACCGGUGACUGGGGCUAAGUCGUAACAAGGUAUC